AGGUGUUUGUAAUUAUGUGUCAUCUUUAAAGCCUUAUGUCCCCACUCUGUUAACCAGGCUGCAGGAGCCAAGUGUGGCAUACCUGCCUGUUGUGAUGGGCUUGACUGAAUUGGCUGAGAUGAAGCCGUCGUGGCAGCUGUAAUGGAGCACCGUGCCCUCCACCGGCUGCCCUGGGGGCUUCACCGCCACCCGGCCGUUCUCCAGGGACGUCCACACCCGCGGGCACAGCAGCACUGGGAGCGGGGACAGGGAGGAGGGCGAGACACACAGUUAGAGAGAGUUAUCAGUGGAAGGAGACAUGGGCAGAUGGGAGAGAGAGGAGGAGGAACGAGCGGCAAACGUCUCGGACCGAAUUCAAACCCGCGAUGGGACCGGUACAUGGCCUCUGUAGCGGAUCCCCCCAUCCCUUGGAGGCCGGAUGAUAGCACAGCCUGGAAAAAAAAAAAAAAAACAGAAGAAGAGGAGGGAGGAUGAAGAGAUGAGAGAGGAAAUGUGAUCUUAUAACGUAGAUAUAUUACAGUAACGUUAUAUCUGUUUCAGCUGAUGCCUUCCUGCAUGCACAAAUUACAGCGCUCCAUUUAGGUCACUUAGCAAUCUCUGUGGAGUUACUUCUAUCCAUUAAUGCAUAUAAACACGGACACACACACACACACAUACACACACAAAAAACUCAGAGGCACACAUUCCCAUGCAUAUCCAGUCACAAACAGAAGCAAAUUACCUCCAGCUGAUGAAU